rnacentral:rRNA from 1 species
AUGAAGGCCCAGGCAGACAAGCGGCGAUUACCUGGUACCUUCAAGGUGGGCGAUUUGGUUUACCUCAAGCUCCAACCAUACAUUCAAACCUCCAUCGCCCGGCGAGCCAACCAUAAGCUGGCGUUCAAGUACUAUGGACCAUACCAAGUCAUCGCCAAGAUCAAUGAUGUUGCAUACAAGCUGGAACUCCCUCCAUACUCACAAGUUCACUCGGUCUUCCACGUGUCUCAGCUGCGCCACUGUCUUCGACCGGGUACGCCGCCCAACCCAACCAUUCCACGCCAUACUGAUGCACCUGUCGUGCCAGUUGUAGUCCUUCAGCAUCGUUGGCGCAAGAAGAACGAUGCCAUGAUCGAGCAAGUCCGCGUCCGCUGGUCCGACGAGUCGGCCUUCAGUGACACUUGGGAGGAUAAAGCAGCACUGCAAGCUCGAUUCCCAACAGCAAAGGCUUGGGGGCAAGCCUCGUCGCAAGGAGGAGGGGAUGUCAGCGCCCCAGCUCUACACGCAUCAACCAUGCACCUGACAAGGAGGACCCAACCGGCAGCGACCCAGUCGCUGCCCAGCGGCCCACCAGGGAGAAGAAGCCCAGAUCACUCAUCACCGGCCCACAGUGGAUGA